rnacentral:lncRNA from 1 species
AUGGCUGCCCCAGUGCCGGCAGCAUUUGAAGAAGUGCAUCAACCUACAAUGUCUUGGCAAAUGUUCUGUUCACCGGAGUGUGGAGAAGUGAUUUACCCACAUCUGUGGGCCGAUAAAUGGCACAGAGACACCAGUGCCUUUGUCUACGUGAAGCUGUCUGGACUGAGAGGCAGAUGCUGCCCUGCAGAGACUGCUCCUGCCAUCAAGAUGACCAAUAUUUCAACAAACCCUCCAGUCCGGAAGUCAGCUCCAGCUACUGGGAUGGGGGAGAUGACAUCGCACUUCAGAUCAGAUCUAUGGGUUUUUGUGUGUGAAACAGCCCUGUCAGGUGGGAACAAAACAGGCACAAGGCUCCUGCAGGAGGAACAACAUCUCUGA